rnacentral:rRNA from 1 species
GACGAACGCUGGCGGCGUGCUUAACACAUGCAAGUCGAACGGAAAGGCCCUGCUUUUGUGGGGUGCUCGAGUGGCGAACGGGUGAGUAACACGUGAGUAACCUGCCCUUGACUUUGGGAUAACUUCAGGAAACUGGGGCUAAUACCGGAUAGGAGCUCCUGCUGCAUGGUGGGGGUUGGAAAGUUUCGGCGGUUGGGGAUGGACUCGCGGCUUAUCAGCUUGUUGGUGGGGUAGUGGCUUACCAAGGCUUUGACGGGUAGCCGGCCUGAGAGGGUGACCGGCCACAUUGGGACUGAGAUACGGCCCAGAGUCCUACGGGAGGCAGCGGUGGGGAAUAUUGCACAAUGGGCGGAAGCCUGAUGCAGCAACGCCGCGUGCGGGAUGACGGCCUUCGGGUUGUAAACCGCUUUCGCCUGUGACGAAGCGUGAGUGACGGUAAUGGGUAAAGAAGCACCGGCUAACUACGUG